UCGUGUGCUUUCUUCUGGACAUGUGGAUACAGAACUAAAUACAAGAACAAAAGCCAAGAGCUUUAGAUGUAGUUUCUGAACCUGCCAUGAAUAAAUCCAUGCAAAUGGCUACCAAUUGAGGCUCUGAAACAUCUCAGUAUAGAAUUCAAAACAGUUAGAUAUAUAUCUAUUAAAUUUCCAGAUGUGAAGAAUGUCGUCUUGGAUAUUCAGAAGUUUGAUCUUCUAAAGAAAUAUGGAUCUAAUUGGCCGAAACGACCAACCCCAUUCUAGCUCGAAGUGAUAUUAUGUUACAUAUAUUUUUUCUAUUGGUGAAAAGGAUUAUCCACUAAUCUAAUAUAUGAAGAAAAGAGAACGACAUAUCAAAACUAAAUAAAAUAGAAAGAUAUAAACGAAUGAUUAAUAUUGCCAAAAAUGUUAAAGAUGGAGAUAGGAAAAUCGAGUUAAAAACACCGAUGACUAUUCCAACAUAUCAAAAUUAUAGUUAAGAGAUGCUUAUUGAGUAUCAUGUUGUCAUUCAUUUUGUUAAUUUAUUUCGUUCCUAUAUUGAAAAAAAAAUAUAAGAAAAAAAAAAUUUGUAUUUAAUUGGUUUUCUUAGCAAAAAA
rnacentral:lncRNA from 1 species